UGAAUAACAUGAUAAAUCAUGUGUAAAAAUGAACCCAACACAAUAUCCUCCUUUCUGUAAAUUAGAUUAAUUUAUAGUAAUAUAGAUGAUCGUUUGUAUUAAAGCAAAACCUGCAUAUGAAGGGUAUUGCUAUCAGAGUUGACAUACUAACAUUGGACCAUCCUCUUUCGAAGUGUAAGUAAAACGUAAUAAUCUUAUGUCGUUUUCAUUUUCUUGCCUGAGAUGAUACAUGAAUGCCCAAGUCCUUUCUAUAUGAUCAAUUUAAUGGAAACUCAUGUUCACCAUAGUUAAAACGCCCAACCAGAAGUCAUCACUUGACAUUUUCUUUUUCUUUAUAUUUAUAAAAAUAAAAUAAAAAAGGCCGUUACAUCUUAACAACACAUGCAAUUUGCAAACAUAGUGACCUUAACCAAAAGAUGCUCCUAAUCAAAUCAAGAAUGGAUGUACCGUGUACGUAACGUGUGCAGCCGUAAAUAGUGUUUUUUUAUUUACUUGAAAAUAAUGAAUGUACGCAAGCAACAUGUGCAGCCAUAAAAAUGGUUUCGAGGGGGAGGCUUGUGGUGAUGGUGCUUAUCUUUCCACUUGCUUUUAAUUUUAGGGAAGAUUUUAAGAUUCCAAAAAUAAAAAAAUUUGGUAGUAAUAAAAUUCUCAACAAGGUGGAGGGUAUAGUUGGCAUUACUAAGAAAAACGAAAAUGAAGUUGGCAUUACCAAAAAACAAAAAACAAAAAGAAGAUCAAUCACAUGCAUGUUCAAAA
rnacentral:lncRNA from 1 species